rnacentral:rRNA from 1 species
GAUGAACGCUGGCGGCGUGCCUAAUACAUGCAAGUCGAGCGAACAGAUGAGGAGCUUGCUCCUCUGACGUUAGCGGCGGACGGGUGAGUAACACGUGGAUAACCUACCUAUAAGACUGGGAUAACUUCGGGAAACCGGAGCUAAUACCGGAUAAUAUAUUGAACCGCAUGGUUCAAUAGUGAAAGACGGUUUUGCUGUCACUUAUAGAUGGAUCCGCGCCGCAUUAGCUAGUUGGUAAGGUAACGGCUUACCAAGGCGACGAUGCGUAGCCGACCUGAGAGGGUGAUCGGCCACACUGGAACUGAGACACGGUCCAGACUCCUACGGGAGGCAGCAGUAGGGAAUCUUCCGCAAUGGGCGAAAGCCUGACGGAGCAACGCCGCGUGAGUGAUGAAGGUCUUCGGAUCGUAAAACUCUGUUAUUAGGUAAGAACAAAUGUGUAAGUAACUAUGCACGUCUUGACGGUACCUAAUCAGAAAGCCACGGCUAACUACGUG